rnacentral:rRNA from 1 species
GUGGCAGCCGCCGCGGUAAAACCAGCACCUCAAGUGGUCAGGAGGAUUAUUGGGCCUAAAGCAUCCGUAGCCGGCUUUGUUAGUUUUCGGUUAAAUCUAUAUGCUCAACAUAUGGGCUGCCGGAAAUACUGCAAAGCUAGGGAGUGGGAGAGGUAGACGGUACUCCGUAGGAAGGGGUAAAAUCCUUUGAUCUAUGGAUGACCACCUGUGGCGAAGGCGGUCUACCAGAACACGUCCGACGGUGAGGGAUGAAAGCUGGGGGAGCAAACCGGAUUAGAUACCCGGGUAGUCCCAGCUGUAAACUAUGCAAACUCAGUGAUGCAUUGGCUUGUGGCCAGUGCAGUGCCGCAGGGAAGCCGUUAAGUUUGCCGCCUGGGAAGUACGUACGCAAGUAUGAAACUUAAAGGAAUUGGCGGGGGAGCACCACAAGGGGUGAAGCCUGCGGUUCAAUUGGAGUCAACGCCAGAAAUCUUACCCGGAGAGACAGCAGGAUGAAGGUCAAGCUGAAGACUUUACCAGACAAGCUGAGAAGUGGUGCAUGGCCGUCGCCAGCUCGUGCCGUGAGAUGUCCUGUUAAGUCAGGUAACGAGCGAGAUCCUUGCCUCUAGUUGCCACCAUUACUCUCAGGAGUAGUGGGGCGAAUUAGCGGGACUGCCGUAGUUAAUACGGAGGAAGGAGAGGGCCACGGCAGGUCAGUAUGCCCUGAAACUUUGGGGCCACACGCGGGCUGCAAUGGUAGUGACAAUGUGUUCCGAAUCCGAGAGGAGGAGGUAAUCCUCAAACGCUACCACAGUUAUGACUGAGGGCUGCAACUCGCCCUCACGAAUAUGGAAUCCCUAGUAACUGCGUGUCAUUAUCGCGCGGUGAAUACGUCCCUGCUCCUUGCACACACCGCCCGUC